rnacentral:rRNA from 1 species
AACUUUCAACAACGGAUCUCUUGGUUCUGGCAUCGAUGAAGAACGCAGCGAAAUGCGAUAAGUAGUGUGAAUUGCAGAAUUCAGUGAAUCAUCGAAUCUUUGAACGCACAUUGCGCCCUUUGGCAUUCCCGAAGGGCAUACCUGUUCGAGCGUCAUCGCACUAAUCAAGCUCU